rnacentral:rRNA from 1 species
GUGAGACUGCCACGGUUAACGUGGAAGAAGGUGGGGAUGACGUCAAAUCAUCAUGCCCCUUAUGUCUAGGGCUACACACGUGCUACAAUGGUGAGUACAAAGAGAUGCAAUACCGUGAGGUGGAGCCAAACUCAAAAACUCAUCCCAGUUCGGAUUGUAGGCUGAAACUCGCCUACAUGAAGCCGGAGUUGCUAGUAAUCGCGAAUCAGCAUGUCGCGGUGAAUACGUUCCCGGGCCUUGUACACACCGCCCGUCACACCAUGAGAGCUGGUAACACCCGAAGUCCGUGAGGUAACCCGUAAGGGAGCCAGCGGCCGAAGGUGGGAUUAGUGAUUGGGGUGAAGUCGUAACAAGGUAACC